CAGCAGCCGCGGUAAUACGUAGGGGGCGAGCGUUGUCCGGAAUUACUGGGCGUAAAGGGUACGUAGGCGGCCAGGUAAGUCAGGUGUGAAAUUCUAGGGCUCAACCCUAGAUAGCACUUGAAACUGCUUGGCUUGAGUACAGAAGAGGAGAGCGGAAUUCCACGUGUAGCGGUGAAAUGCGUAGAGAUGUGGAGGAACACCAGUGGCGAAGGCGGCUCUCUGGUCUGUAACUGACGCUGAGGCGCGAAAGCGUGGGUAGCGAACAGGAUUAGAUACCCUGGUAGUCCACGCCGUAAACGAUGAGUGCUAGGUGUUAGGGGUUUCCACCCUUAGUGCUGCAGUUAACGCAAUAAGCACUCCGCCUGGGGAGUACGGCCGCAAGGCUGAAACUCAAAGGAAUUGACGG
rnacentral:rRNA from 1 species